rnacentral:lncRNA from 1 species
AAUAUGACCUGCAGGCAGUCCUUGCAUGAGACCUGCCCAGAUACCUUGGACAGGUCCUCUGUGUGAAUGGAGAGCUGGACCUGGCAAACCCUGCUAGGCCACUGAGUAGCCUGGUUCCCAGGCAGGAGGACCUUUGUUACUGGCCUCAUCCCAAGAUCGUUCUCAUCUGCACAGACCCCUUCUCCAAAUAAGGCCACAUUCAUGGCUCCAAACAUGGCUGUGUCUUUUGAGACUGCCACUCAGCCCACCAUGGAAUAUGUGGAUGAAGCCAAGUUCUGCCACCAGCUCGAACAGUAGCCAGCUUUCCUUCUCUCUUGGUGGUGGAGAUUGAGUGCCUGGAUGACUGAGUACUAUGAACCUUAUCUGAAGGAACAAAUUGCCUAGGCUUCCACAGUUCUGAAACAUGGUGCACUGGGGUGCUCUUCUCAAAGAAAAGUCUUUCACCUUUGCAAUUUUAAGGCAGCAAAGAGUGGACUACUGCUGGUCCUUGUGAUGUCCUCAGGCUGUCUUUUUGAUUGUCCUGUUCCUUUUCAGCAACCAAAUUCUGCUGUGUUCCUUCUUUUCAGGGCAUAACUUCACUGAAGCUCCCUUUCUGGGUAAACUUAAAACUUUAAAAAUUAUUC